rnacentral:rRNA from 1 species
UACGAGGGGGGCGAGCGUUGUUCGGAAUUAUUGGGCGUAAAGGGUGCGUAGGCGGGUCUUUAAGUCAGGGGUGAAAUCCCGGGGCUCAACCCCGGAACUGCCCUUGAAACUGGAGAGCUAGAAUCUUGGAGAGGCGAGUGGAAUUCCGAGUGUAGAGGUGAAAUUCGUAGAUAUUCGGAAGAACACCAGUGGCGAAGGCGACUCGCUGGACAAGUAUUGACGCUGAGGUGCGAAAGCGUGGGGAGCAAACAGG